rnacentral:lncRNA from 1 species
GAGCAUCCUGUGUCUCCUUCCAGAUGAUCUCCAUAUUUUUAGCUCUGUCAACUAGGUCAUCAUAAUCAGUCGAGUGAACAGCAACUAAACCCUGACGCAGGCGAAGCCUCAGUCCUUCCUCAAAUCUACUCAUCCUAGAUUUAGGGUCUUGGACAAGAGAUGGUGCAAAACGGGACAACCGAUCAAACUCAGCCUCGUAGUCCUCCACAGUCAUACUCCCCUG